rnacentral:rRNA from 1 species
GAGUUUGAUCCUGGCUCAGAUUGAACGCUGGCGGCAUGCUUUACACAUGCAAGUCGGACGGCAGCACAGAGAAGCUUGCUUCUCGGGUGGCGAGUGGCGAACGGGUGAGUAACAUAUCGGAACGUACCGAGUAGUGGGGGAUAACUGAUCGAAAGAUCAGCUAAUACCGCAUACGUCUUGAGAGAGAAAGCAGGGGACCUUUGGGCCUUGCGCUAUUCGAGCGGCCGAUAUCUGAUUAGCUAGUUGGUGGGGUAAAGGCCUACCAAGGCGACGAUCAGUAGCGGGUCUGAGAGGAUGAUCCGCCACACUGGGACUGAGACACGGCCCAGACUCCUACGGGAGGCAGCAGUGGGGAAUUUUGGACAAUGGGCGCAAGCCUGAUCCAGCCAUGCCGCGUGUCUGAAGAAGGCCUUCGGGUUGUAAAGGACUUUUGUCAGGGAAGAAAAGGCUGUUGCUAAUACCAGCGGCCGAUGACGGUACCUGAAGAAUAAGCACCGGCUAACUACGUGCCAGCAGCCGCGGUAAUACGUAGGGUGCGAGCGUUAAUCGGAAUUACUGGGCGUAAAGCGGGCGCAGACGGUUACUUAAGCAGGAUGUGAAAUCCCCGGGCUCAACCCGGGAACUGCGUUCUGAACUGGGUGACUCGAGUGUGUCAGAGGGAGGUAGAAUUCCACGUGUAGCAGUGAAAUGCGUAGAGAUGUGGAGGAAUACCGAUGGCGAAGGCAGCCUCCUGGGAUAACACUGACGUUCAUGCCCGAAAGCGUGGGUAGCAAACAGGAUUAGAUACCCUGGUAGUCCACGCCCUAAACGAUGUCAAUUAGCUGUUGGGCAACUUGAUUGCUUAGUAGCGUAGCUAACGCGUGAAAUUGACCGCCUGGGGAGUACGGUCGCAAGAUUAAAACUCAAAGGAAUUGACGGGGACCCGCACAAGCGGUGGAUGAUGUGGAUUAAUUCGAUGCAACGCGAAGAACCUUACCUGGUCUUGUACAUGUACGGAAUCCUCCAGAGACGGAGGAGUGCCUUCGGGAGCCGUAACACAGGUGCUGCAUGGCUGUCGUCAGCUCGUGUCGUGAGAUGUUGGGUUAAGUCCCGCAACGAGCGCAACCCUUGUCAUUAGUUGCCAUCAUUCAGUUGGGCACUCUAAUGAGACUGCCGGUGACAAGCCGGAGGAAGGUGGGGAUGACGUCAAGUCCUCAUGGCCCUUAUGACCAGGGCUUCACACGUCAUACAAUGGUCGGUACAGAGGGUAGCCAAGCCGCGAGGCGGAGCCAAUCUCACAAAACCGAUCGUAGUCCGGAUUGCACUCUGCAACUCGAGUGCAUGAAGUCGGAAUCGCUAGUAAUCGCAGGUCAGCAUACUGCGGUGAAUACGUUCCCGGGUCUUGUACACACCGCCCGUCACACCAUGGGAGUGGGGGAUACCAGAAGUAGGUAGGGUAACCGCAAGGAGUCCGCUUACCACGGUAUGCUUCAUGACUGGGGUGAAGUCGUAACAAGGUAGCCGUAGGGGAACCUGCGGCUGGAUCACC